rnacentral:rRNA from 1 species
UUAGGCGUGUGACUGCGUACCUUUUGUAUAAUGGGUCAGCGACUUAUAUUCUGUAGCAAGGUUAACCGAAUAGGGGAGCCGAAGGGAAACCGAGUCUUAACUGGGCGUUAAGUUGCAGGGUAUAGACCCGAAACCCGGUGAUCUAGCCAUGGGCAGGUUGAAGGUUGGGUAACACUAACUGGAGGACCGAACCGACUAAUGUUGAAAAAUUAGCGGAUGACUUGUGGCUGGGGGUGAAAGGCCAAUCAAACCGGGAGAUAGCUGGUUCUCCCCGAAAGCUAUUUAGGUAGCGCCUCGUGAAUUCAUCUCCGGGGGUAGAGCACUGUUUCGGCAAGGGGGUCAUCCCGACUUACCAACCCGAUGCAAACUGCGAAUACCGGAGAAUGUUAUCACGGGAGACACACGGCGGGUGCUAACGUCCGUCGUGAAGAGGGAAACAACCCAGACCGCCAGCUAAGGUCCCAAAGUCAUGGUUAAGUGGGAAACGAUGUGGGAAGGCCCAGACAGCCAGGAUGUUGGCUUAGAAGCAGCCAUCAUUUAAAG